UAUAGAUAUAUCUAUAUUUAUAUUUUCUAUGUACAAAAAUAAUACAAAAAAAGACAAAAAGUGCUAAAUCCUACUAGAAUGCAUGUUUUUUAGUGAUUGAAGGAUAACACAUUAGUUCCAAGUUGGCAGGAGGAAACACACACACACAACUGAAAAUGAAUGAGGCAGCAUGACUUGGGGUAAGAUUUCAUUCCACUUUGAUGAUACAAAGACUUCACCACAACUUAGAAGAAGCUUUAUCAUUGGUUGAGGUCUAAGACCAGCUGCAUGAAAUUCUCAUUUUCUCUGGUUACCAUGGAAAUAUUUCUUCAGUACUGACUAGUUACUAAAUGCAGAUCCCCACAGCAGGGCUGUAAAGGAGAAACUAUACCCAUCAUCUAAGUAUCCAGUCUGCCAACCAUCCAAAGGGACCACAUCAGCAGCACAGUAGCAGCAGAGAGCUUUUACACAAGAACUACAUUUCACAGAGAUAAUACAGCAAGAACUCGGUUGUAAUAAUAAAAGACACUUUUCAGGAAAUUUUCAGUAAGUAGCUGAUGAGAAUCAGAAAUCCCCCAUAAGUUAACAGAUAUCACUUGGAUGUUUCUCGAUUGCUCAUAUGCAAUUGCAUAUAAUCUAUGCCAUAAGAAGGUCAUAUGUCAACAUACGAAAACAGGUUGCUAUUACCUCAUACAUCAACAAAAAGCAGAAUUUACAGUGCCACCGGUUAUCAAUGUACAGAAAUUCCUGCAAGACCAAAAUCUUAUGUAAUGAAGAGCUGAGAUCUGAUAAGGAAACAUAUGAGGGAGGAUAAGAUGAAACCCACAAUGGAGUGUGGCAGCUACACACACAGACAUCCUUGACUGCAUCCAAAGAAAAACUACACCUGGCUGAUUGACAUGAAGCCACUUACCAACAGUCAACUUCUGGAUCACAGACACUUUCUUCUCUUUCUGUCUUUUCUGACUACUACAAUGGCCACUGCUUCUCAGGAAUAACUGGUUACAGGCUAUCUGCAUCAAGCAUUCCCAACAUACUCAUCUUUCUCUACUCUUUACCGAUAUUGUGUCCACAUUCCCCACUACCACCAGGAUUCACACUAACAACAGUACCCAUACCUUUAUUCCCAGAACAUUGGCUCUCUGAAAUUUCAUCAGUACAGCCAUUGACUUACAACUUUUCAAGAGGAGCAUUAACCACAUAAAUUUCACUAGUCUGAGAAAACUAUCAGCAUUUCCUACAUAAAAUCAAUAAAAGAAUUCAAUUUUUAUUGCAUUGAUCCUAAUACAUAGACAUAUGAUAAAGGAAUUCUAACCAUUAUCAACUGGCUUUUUUUAUUCACACAUUAUUUAAAGAAAAUCUGGGACAUUGAGAAGAGCACACCUGUACAUUGGAUUAAAGAUUCAUUACAAGCUGUCGUAGUACGCUGCCUCAAAAGUGUUUGACUCUGCAAAGUAGUGGAGGAGAUUUACAGAAUGUCAUAUUCCAUGAGUCAUUUAAUUUUCAAGAGCCAAAAUAAAUAUUCCUAAAGAGAAAA